GACGAAGGGGGCACGCGUUGUUCGGAAUUACUGGGCGUAAAGGGCGCGUAGGCGGCUCUUUUAGUCAGACGUGAAAUCCCUCGGCUUAACCGGGGAACUGCGUCUGAUACUGGAUGGCUAGAGGUUGGGAGAGGGAUGCGGAAUUCCAGGUGUAGCGGUGAAAUGCGUAGAUAUCUGGAGGAACACCGGUGGCGAAGGCGGCAUCCUGGACCAAUUCUGACGCUGAUGAGCGAAAGCCAGGGGAGCAAACGGG
rnacentral:rRNA from 1 species